rnacentral:rRNA from 1 species
CUACAUAUAUUAUUCU